AACAAAUUAGAGCUUGAUAGUAAGCAUUUCAUUUACACUGAAAAAUUAGUUGUGCAAUUCAACUUGAUUUGAU
rnacentral:tRNA from 1 species